rnacentral:rRNA from 1 species
CCUACGGGACGCAGCAGCCGCGGUAAUACGUAGGUGGCAAGCGUUAUCCGGAUUUACUGGGUGUAAAGGGCGUGUAGGCGGGGACGCAAGUCAGAUGUGAAAACCACGGGCUCAACCUGUGGCCUGCAUUUGAAACUGUGUUUCUUGAGUACUGGAGAGGCAGACGGAACUCCUAGUGUAGCGGUGAAAUGCGUAGAUAUUAGGAGGAACACCAGUGGCGAAGGCGGUCUGCUGGACAGCAACUGACGCUGAGGCGCGAAAGCGUGGGGAGCAAACAGGAUUAGAAACCCCGGUAGUCCAGAUCG